rnacentral:lncRNA from 1 species
AUGAGCAGGGGUCUAAGCGAUUGAUGGCGAUUGGAUCAAGAGUUGGUCAAGGAUCGAAUCAAGGAGGCUUGGAACCAAUUCAAGAGUUGAAGACCAGUUGAUCGAUUGACGUGCAUGUGCUUGUAAUACGACCUAACUAGAAUCCAUGAUCAUCACCUAUUUAAAGUUUAGCUUUAAUUAUUGCUGCGAUUAUAACUGCCUGCAAUGUGCCGUUUGCAUGAGAUGUGAAUGAGAGUUGGGUAGAUAGGUUUACAUGUGAUGUAGCAAACCCAAUUGAGGCCUAAAUCAAAACCUCCUCAAUCAAGUCGAGAGUGAACCGACAUGA